rnacentral:ribozyme from 1 species
CAUGAUGGCCCUGUGGAUGUCGGCCGCGCUGUUCUGGAUGAACUUCUACAUCGGCAACGUCGCUGAUCAGAUGUUCCAACAAGCCGACGGCAACCGCCCUAACGCCCAUCUCUAC